GGCACACGGUGAAGAAGAGCUGCUGGGAAGGGUUCUGUUCUCCCAUCCUUAUUCGAUAAAUUGAUUCUCGAAAUUUCCGAUGUCUGGUGCCAGCAGUGUUCUCAAGGCGUUGCGGCCGCAUAUCCCGAUGAUUAAAUUCCGCAAGGGAGGCCGAGCCGUGGCUCAGUCGGAUCAGAAAGUUUCCGCCUCUGUCGGCUCCUCAGCCCGGGGCUCGGGAAUAGAAGAGAAUCUUCUACCUCGGAGAUACGCUCGACUGCCGCUAGAAGAACAGGAAGCAGAACUCGUGAUGAGUGGCGGAGCGUUUUAGGGGCCGGGCGAUAGGAGCUAGAAACACUCACGGCGCACCUGACCGACUGGGGACUCGUGAGACUUUUG
rnacentral:lncRNA from 1 species